GGGAGACCCAGAGUCUUCUGAUAACAGUGCCAUAAAUGACAUAGGGCGUACAUUUAAAAUUGAAUUUUCAACCUGAAGCUUGAAUACGUGGUCUCAAUGCCAGCAGCAAAAUGAAAUGUCACUUCUGGGGCCUGGUUUGCCUCCCUAAACGUCAGCUGCAAGGGAGUGUUUUACUUCACGCAUUAGAGUGUUCCGGUUUACAGGGGGCCGUUGUUUUAUACUGAGUUCCUGUCACUAGGCCCCACCUGGGCAGACUAGGCAGAUUGAAGUCACCUGUGCCAGGUGCCAGGUCACCAAACUGAGCUUAAAAUAGUAUAGAAUGGACAUUCUAGAAGUGCAGAUUAGAUCUAAGAUGAAGAACCCAAUGGUUGGCCUUAAUAACUUGUUGAACACAGAAAGGGACAGGACUAAUAAGCCGGAAGACAGAUCAAUAGAAGAUAUCCAUGUUGAAGCAUGGAGAGGAAUUUGGAGAAAAACGUACACGUUCCAUGAAAAACCCAAAUUCCCAAAGCUGACAAAAUAAUACUGAAAAAAUACAAAUAGCUUGAUUCCCAGGGGCCUGAGGGAGUGGAGGGCCCCCACUCCUGGGUGUCAAAUCAAGUGUGGCCUAAAGCUGCCUCCUUACAUAUUUUAAGUUCGGCCUAGAGGUUUCUCUGUACGUGGUGAGCUAUAACCUAAGCGGAGUUGUACACAGACUGUAGCCUAUACUUGCGCCAAUCACCGAGAUUUGGCCACUCAGACGUAGCCGGUUGUUUGAACCCUGUUAAAACUACCUCCACUUAAUGAAUGGUGAAUGUACUUUCUCUUCCUUAUGGUUUCCUGAAUAUCAUUUUCUUUUCUCCACCUUCCUUCUUUGGGAGAAUACAGUAGAUAAUGCAUAGAACAUAGAAAAUAUGUCUUCAUCAGCUUUUUAUGUUGUCAGUAAGACUUUGGUCAACAGUAGGCUAUUCAUAGUUACAUUUUGGGGAAACAAAAAGUUAUAUGUGGAUUUUCAACUGUGUGAAGGCUCAGCACCCCUAAGCCCCAAGUUAUUCAAGGGUCAACAGUAUAAUUAUCAUCCCAAGAGUUUUUGGAAGUUUCACAACUUUAGCCUAUCUGAUAUCUGUGGAGCCCCUCUGUUCCAGACUGGAGCUCUAGAUAUUGUGGGGGAGAAAGUGUGCUCUUUGUUAUUUUAUAAAAGGUACUCAGAGAAGAUCUCAUGCAAAAGAUGUUAUUGGGGUUGAAACCUCAAAGGAUGCCAGCAUGGAUUCAGGAAAAGAUGGUGCCCAGAAGAAGAAAUGACAAGUGAGAGGGCCUGAGAAGGAAAUGUGCCCAAGGAACAGAAAUGGGGGUGUUGCCAUGGCACAGAGUGGGAAGGGAGCCUCAGAGGCCACGAAGACCACACUGGGGCCUCUGCUGUUACUCUGAGUCACACAGGAAGCCAUGGGCCGGGAUGUAAAGAAAAGGCAUCUUUAUAAACACUCACUUCCAUCUCUUCACUCAUCCUUAAAAUAUUUUAUCUUUGCCUUUGAAAAACCCUUU
rnacentral:lncRNA from 1 species